rnacentral:lncRNA from 1 species
AAGGGUUAAAACUGCUUCCCGCAUCGUAAGACGAACGAAUUGGCCAAAUGGCAUGGUCACCUGUGACCUGGAAGCGCUCUGAAGGGGUGUGCAGUGGGUGAGGAGGAGGCUUAGGCCAAGUCUGGGGAGGCAAAGUGAAAGUGUCCUAUAGUCCGAGUUGGUAUAUGAAUAGAGAGAGUGAGGAAUCAAAAGCAAACUGAAGAUGUGGGUUGCUGUGGCCUGAUGGUGCUCUGAUGAGAUCAACACAAAGGCUCGAAAGCUGGAUCACAGUUCCUGAGCUGCUGAGAGGACAGAUUCGCACCAACAGCAGAGAGAGGGCAGAAGACAGACAGAAGGAAGUUGGAGGUGCACCCCACUUCCCAUCUUCUCCGUGAUGCCUGCCAGCGCUUCCCAGGUUGCAACUCUGUUGUCUUUCUCUGAUUUUCCAAAGCACUUGUGGAGGCUGCCCCCCCCCGCCGCCACCCCCCAAAAGCUUUAAUAGAUAGCACCCGUACCCACUGUAUGUGUCUAAAACUGGUUUUAAAUCUUUAAGAUAACAGCCAACAUUUAAAACAUACAGAUUGUAUACAAAAAUCUCUAUUUUUCUGCAUCUCAUUAAAAAAUCAAAGGGUGAUUGAGCCAUUCUGGGCAUUCAUUCUAAUCACAGGGAUGGGCCAGGGUUGAGUGAAGGCUGCCUUUUUUAGAAAAGGCUGUGCUGUAAAAUUUGCUACAGUCCUUGCCACUCACACACUCUUGCCCCUGAGACUGAGAAGCAGUUGCUAGUCACCUUCACCUUUUGUCUGUGAUCUCUCUUGUGGUAGAGGGGAAAGAAAAUUGAAAUAUUUCUUGUAAUCGUAUCUCUGUCCUAAAGGACAAAUGUAAAAAUAGCCCAAACGAGCCUUUUGUGGUAAGAAGAAUUAGCAAGAACAUAUUUCUCUAUGUAAAUAAUGUAGCCUACUUCACUCACUUGCUACCCACUUGGUCCUAAUUAUUGGGCCUUAGAAUCUUUUCUCAUUGUUCACUGGUUAAUCAGGUUUACUAUUGCAUGUGCUUAUGUUUGCAUAUAGUUUCCAGAGAGCCAGGAACAAAGUGAAAAGAGUGUAACAGGUCUCUAGAGAAGAAAGAUAGUGAUGGAAAUAAGUGGCCCAGGUGAACCAGAAGACAGGGGGGCCAGCAUUUAUUAAAUGCCAAUAAAUGCCAUCAUUGGUGGAUUUGUGAGAGAUACCAGGAUAUGGUUGUACUAGUCAGCUCAGGCUCCCAUAGCAAAUGUACAGCACAGGGGACUCUAUCCAAUCUCUUGGGAUAGAACAUGGUGGAAGAUAAUAUGAGAAAAAGAAUGUAUAUGUUUAUAUGUGUGACUGGGUCUGUACAGCAGAAAUUGAUACAAUGCUGUAAAUCAGCUGAACUCUAGUUUUAAAAAAUUUUUAAAAAUACCAUCACGCUGGGUGUUAGGGCUUCAAUAUAAAUUUUGAGGAGACAGGGACAUUCAGUCCAUAACAAUGGUCCCCACUGUCCAAGCAGCAUAUAGUGCAAUGUAAAUGUCAUGUAAAUGACAUAAGGUACAGAUGAUUAAUACAAGUAAAAUGUGCAAAGUACUGUUCUACACAUAUAGAUAAAGGGCAAGAAAAACAGGAGUUCCCGUCAUGGCUCAGUGGUUAAGGAACCCAACUAGUAUCCAUGAGGAUGUGGGUUCGAUCCCUGGCCUCACUCAGUGGGUUAAGGAUCCAGCGUUGCCAUGAGCUGUGGUGUAGGUUGCAGAUGCAGCUCGGAUCCCGUGUUGCUGUAGCUGUGGUAUAGGCCUACAGCUGUAGCUCUGAUUCAUCCCUGAGCCUGGGAACUUCCAUAUGCCUUGGGUGGGGCCCUAAAAAGACAAAAGACACACUCUCUCUCUCACACACACACACACACACACACACACACACACACACACACAAAAUGCAAGAAAAACAGAGCAGGGACAACCUCACCGAGUCAGGGCAUACUUCCUGGAGAAGAUAGCAUCUGAGCUAAAGAUUGAAAACCAGGUGGGAUAUUCACAGUCAGUGAUGGGCUUCCAGAGAGGAGGAUCAAAAGGCAGAAAAAGGCUGGAGAGUCCAGGGCCUGUUUGAAGCCAGACAAGAAACGUAGUGGCCUUGACAGCAGGGUGUGUGAGUAGGUCCCUGGGUGCCUGGGGAAGGUCAGGAAAGAAAAUCUAACCAAAGCGCAUUCAUUCUAGUGUAUGAGCAAGCACCAGGUACCCUCUUCCUUAACUGUUUCUCUGGAAAAUUCUGCUGUGUUGUGAAGGGCAUUAAUCAGAUGUAUAAGAAUAAUAGUGACAUCUCACUUGCUGAGUUCCGUGUGCCAGACCUCAUGUUGAGCACUUACAUGAAUACCCUUGUUUAGUCCUCACAACAAAUUUCUAAGUGUUCUUAGCCCCAUUUUGCAGACCAGGAGACUGAGACACCCCCAACACCCAGCAGCUGAGUGGGAGCUGCAUUCCUAGCCCAGCUUAGCGGUGGGCUAGAAAUGUAAACGAGUCAUGCAUCAUCCCGCUGCAUUCGUCACUGAUCUCAUUCUGACUUCUGACCAGCCCACUUUAUUUUCGAUGUUUCUGUCACAACCAGCCCAUGCCUGUGUAGUUAUUUCGUUGCUAAUGUUUAGUGGAACUUUGACUACCUCUGGAGAUAAAAUUAGAGCUUCAAGAACUACAGUGCCCCCUAAACCCUGUCCAAAUUGAAUUAAUUAAUCUGUCACUCAAACACCCUAAGGGCCUGAUUUCGAUGCAAUUUCACUGUAAGUGAGAAACUUCAGGAACCUGGAUAAAAACCAAAUGUAGACAGAAAUAAAAAGUCUAAAUCUGUCCUCAAUCUCAAAUUCUCGACCUGAAAAUGUGGCAGAAAUUUCAUAUUUGUUUCCGUUGGCUCUUAAAAUACAUAUCCCAGUAAUUAAUAAAAUGAUAAUGACUGAUAAAAAUUUCAUGAAGGCACACAACGGGUCCAAAAACAUCUGAGAUACACACAAGCAUUUGUAUUUUAAAACAUAUCCUUAAGAUACUACCAUUGCAGGCCAUAUUCAGAUGGUAUUGCUGUUUCAUAAAUAUUUUUCAGAAUUAAAAAUGCCAUAGGUACAGUAGAAUUCAACUGCAGCUCUCAUCUCUGACCAGUUUUCAUAGAUUCAGGCAGCUCUCUCUUGUUUAUAUCAAUAUAAGGACACAGGUAUUCCAGAAGUCAUUUAGUUUGAGGGUACAUUGUUUGAACUGCAGCUGUACUUUCAGUGAUUUUUGGCAGAGCCUAAUAGUAAAAUUAGUUUGUACAUCUGAAAAUAUAACCAUUUUGGAGCAGGAAUUUGAAAAUGUCUUGAUACCUGGAGCAAGUCCCCCCCCC